rnacentral:lncRNA from 1 species
AAAGCACUUCACAAAAACCAUGGUAAGCGCCCAGCACGUACCCUAGUAAUCACAGGGAAGGGCCUGAAUUUAUUGGUGCCCUCCCUGAAUUCCUCAGGCUCGGCGGGGAGGGGGGUGCCUGGCUCUUCCACGGUUCACUCGCCCCUCAACUUUAGGGCGACGGGCCACCCCGGGUCUCUCUUACUCGAGCUCAGGCCCCAGGUUGGAUUCCCUUCGGGCCGAUCUGUUUCUCGGUCGAGGUGGUUCGGGAUCAGGGGCUCUCCAGAGCCUCGGCCUCAUCCUGUCUCUUCCCAAAGGCUCCCGGAAUUUCGUCUAGUUCCUAGCAACGGGCUAACAUUCCCACGAGAGUCAUGCGUUCUAGAAUCUCAGGUCCCUUCCCUUUUUUUUUUUUCGGUGUUGGCUUUUUCGUUUUUUGUUGUCGUUCGGCCCUUACUAUGCGCCAGGCGCUGGACUAAGUGGUGGGGGAGAUACAAGAUAAUCAAAUCCAGUGUGGGGCUCCUAUUCCAUUGAACGGACGAGGGAAAGGAGGCACAGAAAAGUUAAGUGACUUAUCCAAGGUCACCCAGCAAGCAAGUGAUGACGGAGUGGAGAUUAGAACCCAGGUCCUCCGACUCCCAGGCCAUGAGGCCAUGCUGGCUGGGUUCUGCCCUCUCUUCUGAUCUCUGACACCUGGACCGGAGCCUGGACUGCCUGACCUGUAGGAUAAGCAGCCGCCUCCUCCAAGACACGUUCUUUUUUUUUUUUAAUAUGUUAUUUGUUAGCGCUCACUAUGUGCCAGGCACUGUACUGAGAGCUGAAGUAGAUACAAGCUAAUCAGUUUGGACAUAGUCCCUGUCCCAACGCAAGGCUCACAGUCUUAAUCUCCAUUUUGCUGAUGAGGUAACUGAGGCCCAGAGAAGUUAAGUGACUUGCCCUGUGUCACACUGCAGACAAGUGGGGACGCCGGGUUUAGAACCCAGGUCCUCUGACUCCCAGGCCCCGUGUUCUCUCCACUGGGCCACGCUGCUUCUCACUGCUCCCAGACUAAGCCCCCCUUUUCCUCAGCUCCCCCUCUCCUCCCCAUCACCCAACUCACUCCCUUUGCUCUACCCUCCUCCCCGCAUCGCAACACGUAUGUGUAUAUAUACAUAUUUAUAAUUCUAUUUAUAUUAAUAAUGUGUAUAUAUCUAUAAUUCCAUUUAUACUGCCUGUUUACUUGUUUCGAUACCUGUCUCCCCGCUUCUAGACUGUGAGCCCUCUGUGGGCAGGGAUUUUCUCUAUUUGGCCCCGAAUUGUACUUUCCAAGCACUUAGUACAGUCCUCUGCGCACAGUAAGCGCUCAGUAAAUGCGAUUGAAUACGAAUGCUUCACGCUGCUUCUCACGCGGCGUUCCCUGAUUCCGCCUCACCUUUGGUCCCUGGCCACCUCGCUGAUUCACUUCACGGCUUCCAUUGAUCUUUAACCUAGUGUAUGACUGGCAAUCGAGGACCUCUGUCUCUCCCUGUGAACUGUAAACUCCUCGGGGCAGGAAUCAUAUCCCUUUAAUCAAUCCAUCGGUGGUAUUUAUUGAGCAAGGAGACCGAGGAUGACCGGCCAGAGAGAUAAGAGGAGAACCGGGAGAGGAACGAGUCGGUGAAGCCAAGGUGAGAUAAGGUGUGGAGGAGGAGGGGGUGGUCGACGGUGUCCAAGGCAGCUGAGAGGUCGAGGAGGAUCAGGAUGGAGUAGGAGCCAUUGGAUUUGGCAAGAAGGAGGUCACGGGUGACCUUAGCGAGAGCAGUCUCGGUAGAGCGGAGGGGACGGAAGCCAGAUCGGAGGGGGUCCGGGAGAGAAUGGGAGUUGAGGAAUUCUUAGCAGCGAGUGUAGACGACUCGUUCUAGGAUUUUGGA